GCCUUGGGAGGCAGCAGGCAGGGGAUUCCUGUCACACAGACAGAUUGGGUUCCCAUCCCCUGGCUCCCAACUCUGGGCACUGGAGGAGUAAACUGAUGAGAUGACUGUAUAUUUCUCUCUGCCUGCCUCUCAAGAACUACCAUGUAUUCUAUUAACUCCUGGCAGACACAAGUGCAGAAAAGAGGUUAGCAUUCCACCUUAAACAGCCAGAAGAGUAUCACUAUCUCAAUCAGGAUUGCUUCACGGUGGAGGGGGAAGAUUUGAGGCAUGACUUUGAACGCCUACAGCUGGCCAUGGAAAUGGUAGGAUUUCUUCCCAAGAUGCGAAGACAGGGAGCUGCGUGCAGUGGCCUGGCAGCCAUUUCCACAGAGAAGGACGCCGAGGGUGGGGAGCGAAUGCGUGUGCUCCACAGGACGCCCAGGAGGUGGACGAGAGGCAGCACCAGACAGCUCUGGAAUAGAGGUGAGGUGCUCUGCGUGACGGACAGCCACAAAGUCUGUCCAAGCAGCAUUCGAACCCCACGUGCCUCCCCCACCCAGCUCAACGAAGCAGCAGCCCCUCCCCCUCUCUGCAGAAAUCUGUAUUCUGGGUCCCUGGGCCUGGGAGCCCCUGACACAGCUGGGCAAGGAGUCCUCCCUUGGAGCUGGCGUGUUCCCCUUUCUCCUCACACGUGGGUUUCAGUAUCCUGGAAACCAUGA
rnacentral:lncRNA from 1 species